rnacentral:rRNA from 1 species
UUGGGAAUCGUUGUCAAUGGGGGAAACCCUGAACACGCGACGCCGCGUGGUGGAUGAAGGCCUUAGGGUUGUAAACACCUUUUGCACGGAAAGACUUAGGACGGUACCGUGCGAAUAAGCUCCGGCUAACUACGUGCCAGCAGCCGCGGUAAGACGUAGGGAGCAAGCGUUGUCCGGAUUUACUGGGCGUAAAGCGCACGUAGGCGGCCUGUUAAGUGAGUAGUGAAAUCUCCAGCGCUCAACGCGGAAAUAGCUUCUCAUACUGGCAGGCUUGAGGGAUGCAGAGGUAAGUGGAAUUCCCGGUGUAACGGUGACAUGUGUUGAUAUCGGGAGGAACACCCAUGGCGAAGGCAGCUUACUGGGCAUUUCCUGACGCUGAGGUGCGAAAGCGUGGGUAGCAAACAGA